rnacentral:rRNA from 1 species
UACGUAGGGGGCAAGCGUUGUCCGGAUUUAUUGGGCGUAAAGCGCGUGUAGGCGGCCAGGUAGGUCGGUUGUGAAAAUUGGAGGCUCAACCUCCAGACGUCGAUCGAAACCAUCUGGCUAGAGUCCGGGAGAGGAGAGUGGAAUUCCUGGUGUAGCGGUGAAAUGCGCAGAUAUCAGGAAGAACACCCGUGGCGAAAGCGGCUCUCUGGAACGGUACUGACGCUGAGGGACGAAAGCUAGGGGAGCGAAAGGG